UCUUUGCUGACGAGUGGCGGACGGGUGAGUAAUGUCUGGGGAUCUGCCCGGUAGAGGGGGAUAACCACUGGAAACGGUGGCUAAUACCGCAUAAUGUCGCAAGACCAAAGUGGGGGACCUUCGGGCCUCACACUACCGGAUGAACCCAGAUGGGAUUAGCUAGUUGGUGGGGUAACGGCUCACCAAGGCGACGAUCCCUAGCUGGUCUGAGAGGAUGACCAGCCACACUGGAACUGAGACACGGUCCAGACUCCUACGGGAGGCAGCAGUGGGGAAUAUUGCACAAUGGGCGCAAGCCUGAUGCAGCCAUGCCGCGUGUAUGAAGAAGGCCUUCGGGUUGUAAAGUACUUUCAGCGGGGAGGAAGGGAGUGAGGUUAAUAACUUCAUUCAUUGACGUUACCCGCAGAAGAAGCACCGGCUAACUCCGUGCCAGCAGCCGCGGUAAUACGGAGGGUGCAAGCGUUAAUCGGAAUUACUGGGCGUAAAGCGCACGCAGGCGGUCUGUUAAGUCAGAUGUGAAAUCCCCGGGCUCAACCCGGGAACUGCAUUUGAAACUGGCAGGCUUGAGUCUCGUAGAGGGGGGUGGAAUUC
rnacentral:rRNA from 1 species